UUGGGGGGUGGUGGCGGCGGCGGCGAAGCGGAGCCGGGGGUGGGGGGCUGUCGGCCGGCGGCGAUGCUCCCCGCUUCGCACAAGGAGCUGAGGCUGGAGCAGGAGGAGAGGCUGAUGCCGUCGGCCCGGGCCUGCUGCAGGAUGUGGGCAAUACCAGCAUUUGUUGCUCAUCCUGAAAUGAGUGGAAUGAAAAACAGAACACUGGAAGAACUCAACAGAUAAGCAGCACUUGUGGAAGCAACAGGUGUCCACAAUAGACCCAGCCUCAGUACAGAAUCGUGUCAAGCAAGGCUGUGUCAUUGCCUCAUGCUUUUCUCAAAGCUACACCUCACCUUCAGAAGCUUUCCACUGGAGCAGAACUAAUCUACAUGCUCAAAGGGAAACCGAUCAACCUACAUUGCCUCCAUUCCAGAAGCAGCGUCAUCCCAACUUCACUCAUUGGGCUGCAGUAUUCAGAUGACAUUGUAUAUCUGCACGUUUGGGGCUUAGCUCCACAUCGUCGUCAAUAUGUUAACAGAAGCAGACGGGAGAAUGGGACUACAAAAUAUUUGCAAAACAAAGAUUCUGUACCAAUCUGCUACCACUGUACAACACUGUCCAUGACAAUUAAGGUUCAUGAUGAGAAGUACUUCCUGUAUUUCAGGAGCCACCCCUCAGCAAAGGCAAAGGUUGAUGAUGAAAUUCAUCAUUGCCUUCAGUGUGCCAGCAUUGUCUUUGACCACCUGAGGAAAAGGAUUUGAAGAUCAAGAACUCAAACUGAGCAUUAAGCUCAUGGUGCACUAAUUCCCUGCCUCCUUGUAUAUUUCUGAGACAUGGAUUACAUACAGCAGCCCUAGGAAGAUACCACCAACUCUUGUCUCCACAAAAUCCUCCAAAUCCAUCAGGAAAAGCAAACCAACAUCAAUGCUCUUUUCCAAGCCAACAUCCCUGGUGUUGAGGCCUUAAUAAUACUCAGUUGGCUCUGACGGGCAGGCCAUGUCAUUUGCAUGCCUGAUAUCAGACUCCUGAAAGAGACACACUUUCCUGACACAACAAGAAAGGAAGACAGAAGAUGAUUUAAGGAUGUUCUCAAAGACUCCUUGAAAGAACAUAACAUGCAUACUAACUUGUGGGAAUCCCUGGCCCACGACCCCUCAAAAUGGAGAAGCAGUUUCUGGAAAGGCCUUGAGAACAUUUGUGGGAACAGAGAGAAGCACAGUCUAAACAGGGGAAUUAGUGUGUCACCUCCCAAACUACCGUCCCAUUCACCUCCUACCUCUCCAUUGGCAGAACCUUUGGAUUCCAAAUUGGACUCCUUGUCCACCUCAGAACCCACAGGACUGUGGCAGAACAAAUCAUCUUUGAUUCCGAGUUAUUGCCAAUGAAGAAGACCAUGACUCAAUUAGCUUGCACCUGUGAUGACCAUGAACUCAGCAAACUUCCUGGCACCACAAGGUCCCAAUGUAAUACACAGUGCAAAAUUAAGGACUUGGCAAGUGCACGGGUUCAAAUAUUUGUCAACGGAUGUAAUGCAACAAUGUUAUCAGACCGUGCUUUAGCAAACACUGUUGGGUAUUCAACUAAUCGAUUAAAAAUGUGCACGUUGUGCCAAAGCACAGGUUUAGCAGAAAAUUUAGCAAUAAAGCAGCAGAAACAUUUGUUUACUGUGAAAAAAUCAAAGAAAAUUACAACCCUCUGGUAAUGAGACACUGCAACCUGAAAUAAGAGGUCAUCUAUUCUCUCCUUAUUUAGAUUUCAUAUAACAUUUCUCAACUGUAGGUGCAAGAUAGUAAUGCCUCUGGUUGUUAUUUAUCACAUAGAACCAGAAGAGUUUGGCGCAAUGCUUGUAACAAGUCCCCAUUUCCAUUGCCAGUUCCAAGCUAUAUUUCUGAAUCAUUCCAAAAGUCCACAAUAACUUGACCUAGAUUAAUUUAACUUGUAAAGGUUAGGAAUACUCAGACAUGUGAAGUACAACUUCAGUUUAACUGGUGUAUCACUUUAACAAAACAUUGUUGCUACAUGUACACCCUACAAGAUUUCAAAAUUGAGGAGUUUAUUUUCUCCUUUAAGAUAAACCAAUUUAAUUUCUUAUUAUGUCUGCUGCAACAAGGCUCACAUUUCAGAUUAAUAACAUGCAAUUGGAAUGGCAUGGCCACAUACUGUAGACUGAGAGGAAAGAAAUUAGAAACAGUGAGGUAAUGCAGAAGAUAUAUGACUGGAAUACAAAUUCACCAUUCCUGAAAUGUAGAGUGAGGAUGGUUACUCUACUGUAAUCUUCUUCCAUUCUAAAGAAAUUGGACUUAUGGUAAACAUGCACAAUUAAUCAGUGAUGGGAUUGAAAUAAGGAUUCAACAUAGCAAAAUUACAUGUUGUGAAUGAACAAAUUACAUUGCAAGAUCAUGCACUGAGAAGGGAAUUUUCUCUCUACCCGAGCCAUUAUUGCAUCUAAUGCAACACCAUCCCACCACCCAUGCCACAUCCUCUCCUAUUCCUUUCCUCAUCAUCUCUCCUUAUCAAAGCAAUGCCACUCAUGCCUUAACCAGUAUGAGGUCAGUCUCCAUGCUUAUAACAAGGGUAUUUUAAAUCUCUUUGGUAAUUGCUACAUAAUUAUUUCUAUAAUACAUCCCUGGAGUGUGCAUGCUUGGAGCAGGGAAAAGAUGAAAGACUAUUUAGAAAAUAUGUUGGCUGUUGGAUCCUUAUCUAUGUCAACACCAGAGAUAAGGUUUUAAGAGGUAAUAUACAAUUCUUUGAAAAACAAAAUUUACUAUUUAGGAUUCUCUGGAACUUCAAAAUAUUAAUGAACAUCAACUGUGAAUGCCUGUGAUUAACUAAAGAAAGAGAAAUAACUAAUCAUUUCUUCCUCCAGUGCUAUCUGAUCUUCCUCUGUUGGUGGAACCAGAGGUUGCCAAACAUUUGCAGUUAAAUCUGCCAAUCCAUUACAGCAUGUGGAAGGGGAUUAAAUCUGCUUUGAAGAAAACUUGAUUUUUUCUUUAUUGAAGUAGGUUUUGUGGGACAGAAGGAAACAGCAGAUUCUUCUGUUGCCAU